UAAUAAUAAAGGAGGUUACUCACUGUCAUGCAUACACAUUUACGAAUUUAUCUUUUAAAAUUUUAAAUUCUGCAAGUUAGUAUACAAUAUGUUAAAAUUUCCAAGUUGCCCCUUGUAUAAUCCAUUAUCUAUACGCACAAAUGAAAUAACAAAGCUUCAUAAAUUCUUUUUGUAUUCACAUAUUGGCAAGCUCAUUAGCUAAAAAUGAAAUUUUUGAUAAACAUUCUAAGAAACAAGAAUUUCAACUAGGUUCUUGGCACCUAACAUUCACCAAUCAACUACUUUAUGACGAAUUGAAGGUAUUGCGUAAUGUGUUUUACUUAAAUUUAUAAUUGUGAGCAUGAGAUAUACAUUCUUAUAUUUAAUUUGAGAAAUGUUCGGAAUGAAAUGAAAUGUUAUAAUCUAGUAUGAAUUGUAGCAUGCUGUUAAAUAUAUUUGCUUCCAUUUAUGAAAUAUUUUCUCGCAUACUUUUAAUCAACUUUUGAUAGAAGUAUAAUAUUUUAUGCUAUCUUUAUAAUGAAUCAUGCAACCAUAAAAGGCAAUGUGUUAUCACUAAUAAAAUAUUAAGCAUAAUUGGAUUUGGCUUGUAUGUGAGAGUCAUGGCUAGAACUAGAGAGAUUGCUAAAAAGACAACGGCUUGUAGGACUGUUCUAAACUAUAGGAUAGUAGUUAUCGAAGCCUAUGAGAAUUACGAGGCAGACCAGACUCACACCCUUAUUGAGCAUGCAGAGGAAGUCUUCACUAGGCGGGUUGUGGCAAGGGAUGUAGGACAUGAGAUUACACUCCUUCAAGUUGUUAACAAUUUUAUUCAUACACUGCCCCCUCAAUGGGGUAGACGUGGACAUUGUUGUUAGAGACGAAAUGCUAGAGGGUAACCCUCUAGAGCACUCGAAAAGGAUCGAGUUCGAGCUGUACUGUGAAACUUUUCUAGAUAGGCGGAUUUCUACUCUUGAGACCGAACCCUAGCCAGAGGAAGACCGUGGUGAAGAUCCAGAAGAGAAGUCGAAUUAUGAACCUAAUUCAGAGCCAGAGAACGAGUCGGAGCAUGUAUCAAGACCAGAGCAAGAACUAGAACCGAACCAGGAGCAGGGUUCGAACUAGACCUUGAGCUAGGAGUUGACCAGGAAUUUGAGCCGGAGUCAUGUAUAUCUUUGGAUGAUGAAGCCCCUCCAUCUAAGCUUUGUAGGAUUCAAAAUGUUUGGACAAGCUAAAAUGAAGACUAGCAACCUAGAGAUAGUCUCGUUUAGAUAACUAAUUUCUUCCCCUUUAAAAAAAUGUAAUCAGUACUUGAACUAGUCAAUAGGUUUUUCUUCUUUCAAUCAUUCCUAAUGUAUUCUAGGAUUUUAAAAUUUUAUGAAAUUGAGUUCUUCAUUCGAAUAUAUUGAGCUGUGUUGACUAUUUCUAAAACGAAUUUUAUUUGGUUGAUUUAAAAGAAAUGACACAUCAACCAACACAAGCUCUAUGUUUAUGGAUUUGUUAAGAGCUGUGCAAGAUCUUGGUAGACAGCAAACACAAUCACCUUCUCAAAAUCCAC
rnacentral:lncRNA from 1 species